GACGAACGCUGGCGGCGUGCUUAACACAUGCAAGUCGAACGGAAAGGCCCUGCUUUUGUGGGGUGCUCGAGUGGCGAACGGGUGAGUAACACGUGAGUAACCUGCCCUUUACUUUGGGAUAACUUCAGGAAACUGGGGCUAAUACCGGAUAUGAGCUCCUGCUGCAUGGUGGGGGUUGGAAAGUUUCGGCGGUUGGGGAUGGACUCGCGGCUUAUCAGCUUGUUGGUGGGGUAGUGGCUUACCAAGGCUUUGACGGGUAGCCGGCCUGAGAGGGUGACCGGCCACAUUGGGACUGAGAUACGGCCCAGACUCCUACGGGAGGCAGAAGUGGGGAAUAUUGCACAAUGGGCGGAAGCCUGAUGCAGGAACGCCGCGUGCGGGAUGAAGGCCUUCGGGUUGUAAACCGCUUUCGCCUGUGACGAAGCGUGAGUGACGGUAAUGGGUAAAGAAGCACCGGCUAACUACGUG
rnacentral:rRNA from 1 species